rnacentral:rRNA from 1 species
GACGAACGCUGGCGGCGUGCUUAACACAUGCAAGUCGUACGGUAAGGCCCUUUCGGGGGUACACGAGUGGCGAACGGGUGAGUAACACGUGAGUAACCUGCCCACAACUUUGGGAUAACGCUAGGAAACUGGUGCUAAUACUGGAUAUGUGCUCCUGCUGCAUGGUGGGGGUUGGAAAGCUCCGGCGGUUGUGGAUGGACUCGCGGCCUAUCAGCUUGUUGGUGGGGUAGUGGCCUACCAAGGCGGCGACGGGUAGCCGGCCUGAGAGGGUGACCGGCCACAUUGGGACUGAGAUACGGCCCAGACUCCUACGGGAGGCAGCAGUGGGGAAUAUUGCACAAUGGGCGCAAGCAUGAUGCAGCAACGCCGCGUGCGGGAUGACGGCAUUCGGGUUGUAAACCGCUUUCAGCAGGGACGAAGCUUUUUGUGACGGUACCUGCAGAAGAAGCACCGGCUAACUACGUG